rnacentral:lncRNA from 11 species
AUUGAGGUCGCGGUGGGUUUUCAACAUCCCAUUCUCGUGGGUUUCGCUCAUGUAUCGGGGGGAAAGGUUACGGAGCCAUUUGGAGAGGUUGCAUCGGGCUGUGUCGUCUUAAGUGCUUGCGAAAGGAACAAUAAAAGGAAAGGCAAAACCGGCAUUUUGAAAACUUGGCACGAGAAAGGCGCGUUGGACUGGGAGCCAAGAAUCCUGCUGCGGUGCACAGAGAAUAGCCUCCGAAAAAGCACCUCCAUAGAAGAUUUCUUCCUCUCUCUUAAAAAAAAAAUAUAUAUAUAUACCCUUCUCGGCAGCUGCUGCAAUUACUUUUCCAUCGGUACUAAGAGUCAAAAAGUUAUACCGGAUGAGCCAAUGUGAAGACAGGUAACGUUUCUCUAUCUUAUUAUCUUUGCACCCAGCUCUUUGCUUCGCGGCGUUUUAACAAUUUGAUUUUGGUAGCCAACAAACCAUCUAAUGCAUAAUGUAUUUAUUACAGUUGUAAUCCUCCUAAGGGUUACUCUGAUGGUAUAUUUUUAGCUCAAAUGGAAGGGAAUCCAGCCAAGAUGUUGGAAGAUGUAUUUACAUAUACAGACAUAUUCGUUUCGGUAUUAUUCUUGUACUAUGAGGGGACAAAACAAUCUUUGUUUAACUUGACAUUGGAUGAACUUUAAAAAGGCCCCAGACAUCAAUUCUUCCCCUACUUGGCCUUAAAUGUAUUUAUUAAACACUAGCUGUGCCCAGCCACGCGUUGCUGUGGCGAAGUAUGGUGGUAUGGGAAAUAAAGUAUUGAGAAAUUGGUGGUAGUUAAGGUAAAGAUAAUCCAGUGCAAAGCAGAUAAUAUAAGAUUACCAAUGGGUUAUAUAGCUGUGUGGAAGGGCCUUGAGUCUACACUGCCAUAUAAUCCAGUGCAAAUUAGAUAAUCUGUGGAAGAGGCCUAAGUGAGGCCUAAGUCUGCCUGUCCCCUAGGCUGAGUUGGUUGCUAGGAGACCAAGUGGGCAGAGAUUAGCCCUCUAACUGGCAGCAAUUGGAUAAAAACAAUUAUUCCUUUCCCUUUAAUUAGGACUUUAUUUUUCUUUUUGUUGUAUCAACCUAGAGGCGUGGAUGAUGGGUUGUGUUGUCAAAUUUCGAGGUUGGGGGGCCUGUAGUUUUGUUGUUUUGCCAGUCGCCGUGAUGCCAUCACUCAUUUAUAUAUAUAGAUAGAGGCUCAACAAAAUGGCAGCUUG